UUAACCCUGAGGAGCCGGUGGCGCCAGGGCGGUGGCUGGGGUUCACACUGCGGCUCCCGGAAGCCCCACGUGCUUGUGGAUGCUUCUCGAAGCUGGGCGUCAGAGCGGGACUCGGCUCCGAGGACUUUAAGGGUAGCCAAAUGCAAACCUCGUAACACCCAAGCCGGCGGCCACAGACUGCAGGUCGCUGCGCCAUGUUUUCAGGAGGGCAGCCCUUCGCUAGGUUUUCUGGGUGCUAAGAAAAGCGGCGCGUGCAAGAAUGGAAGCCGAAGAGCUUCCCGGGCUCCCGAACGCGUGCAGGACGCUGCGUCCGCGGGACUCGGCGCCACGCGUCCAGUCCCCCACCACCGUGUCGACGCCGAGAGCGAGUGUCCAGUGCUUCUGAGAUACGGACAACGCCUCCUCCCCCCGUCCCCACCCCCUCGGGUCGACUUCUCUAAGAGAAGGGGCCACUCUCUCCCGGCGCUCCCGUAGGCGGGGGCCGAGCCGCGGUGGCGGCCGCGCCAGGGUCACCUUGACCUGCGUGCCUUUCAUUCCAGGGUCCUCGUGCGAGGCAGUUACUGCCGAUCACCGCCAUUCAAGCCCUUCCUCCGACCUCUCUCGUCCCGCCCCUCGAGCUACCCCCUACUCUUCCUCCCUGAGUCUACGGACCCGGAAACACUGCCUCCGCCAGAUUGGAAGGGACAACGCGGGAACGACUCCAGGAAAAUCUGAGGGAGAAUUCCCUCCCUACCCCUCCCGGAUCCCAGCCUGUUGACUCUUCUCGGGACCGGCGCUCAGUCUAGGAGGGUCUCCGCUUUGGAAUGGCCUGUGCUGUUAUGCUGCAUGUCCAUCGGAGUGGCAGAGAUUUCCAGGAAGAAUUAACUCCUAGCAACUCAGCCUGGCAAAAAAAGGAGACAAUUUGGCUCCGAUCGCCAGAACAAGCAGUGAACAGGUUUGAAUAAAGGAACCAGUGAUACUUUCUUUGCUCUGGGGGUGAAGGAACUGUGGAGUAUGGAAAGAAUUGCUUCAAUAAUAAAAGUAUGGUGUUAAAUAAUCCAGACACAUUUUAAGGAUUUUAGUUUUUUGCAUUGGGGAUAUCCAUCCCCUCCCCUCUUCCAAGAAUAAAAGAAAGGAAACAACAAAAGAAAGAAGAAAGAAAGAAAGAAAGAAAGAAAGAAAGAAGAAAGAAAGAAAGAAAGAAAGAAAGAAAAAAGAGAGAAAGAAAGAGAAAUAAAUCAUAUUUUAAUAUCAGCAUUAAAAGAUUUGCCUAAAUAAAGUUUAGAAGAGAAAUAAGAGAUAAUUUUUAAAGAGAGAGUGAAUAAUAAUUUAAAAAGCCAAUGCAUUGCAAUGGCAUGUCCUGGAACAAGGCCUUAUGGUGAGGGAGACACAUCAGAACAUACCAGAGAGACAAAUACUGUGACUGCUGAGGGGGAGAAAGGUGUAGGCCUUUUCUAGAAGACAGCUCAUAAAAACCAAAAUGAAUGUCCCACAGAUAGCCUACUGGAUUUAUAAUCCAUGUUAAUUUUUAAGUAGUUUUAUUAAAAAAAAAAAAACUAAAAAAACUUAAAAACUGAAAUCCAUGUAGGAAAUAAAAGGAGAGUUUCUCUGAGACCUGACUUGACUUGAAUAUGUAAGACCACCAGUGUUUUUUGCUGAGGACUUCACAUUCUGAGGUAACUUCAGACAAAACAUCAAAGAUCUAGGCUGAAAAUGAGCUAACCUGAGUUCAGCACAGAUAUGUUUGAAGUGCCCCCUGCUGACUUCUGGUGACACUGUAACAUCUCAAAAAAGUUAUUUUUUAGAGGCUUCAGACAGAAUUAAUUUGAAUAAUCAUUAAGCUCUUUUAUUACUUGAAAUUUUCUUGUUUAUCUUGUUAAAUUAUAUGUAACAUGAAGGAAGGUAUUGUUCUUAUCACCUCUGGGUACUUCCCAUAGCAUCAAACUGUGCUGGGAAGUUAAGAGGUUCUUGGUCAAUAGUUGUUGGGGGUAUUAAUAACACUGAGUAAAAGAUGAUCCAGUGUUAAAUGGGGGGAAAAGCAAGAUAUAUUUUAUUUUUAAUUUUUGCUGAAUUUUGAAAUUAUGAAACUUGUCAUAAUCUAGGCCAAAUCUAUCUGGGUUAUGGAAAUGGAGGACUCUUUAUCUGACUGGAGAUUUCUGCUGGCCUCAUAUUUCUCUUCUUCCUCUUAAUUACCUCUUUAGUUAAAAAAUUAAUAUAUUCUUGACCAAAAUAAAACCACAAAAGGCAAAAAAUUUCAAGCAGCACAAAUGUGUGUGCAACCAAAGUCUUUUUCUGACCUCAUACUUUUAAUCCUCUAGUCUUUCUCCAGAAGCAACUAGUUCCCUUUCUUGUGUACCUUUGUAGAAAGUCUAUGCAUUUACAAGUAUAACUGUGUUUGUAAAUGUGUGCUUAUGUAUGUUCAUAUUCAUCUACAAAUUCACAACUUACUUUUUACAGUAAUGUUAGCAUACUAUAAGAACUGUUCUGCAGUUUAUUUUUCCACUUAAUAUGUGACUUAGACAUGAGCUUAUGAGGAAGACCUCCCUUUUUAAAAUUUUAAUGGCCAUGUGAGUUUCCCUUAUAUGGAUGUACCAUCAUUUAUUCAACCAGACAACAUUAAUAGUUAUUUAGAUCUUUUGAUAAUAUAAACUAGGCUAUAAUGAAAAAGACAAAUUCUUUAAAAUUAUUGAGUCAAAAAGUAUGAAUAUUUAUCAUCUUAAUAUGUAAAGCCCCCAUGUCCUCUAAUGAAACUGCACAAAUUUACAUUCCUACCUACAGUGUAGGAGAGUUGAAUGAUUGUGGAUAUUCUGGCCAUCACUGUAUAUUAUUGAACUAUUUAAUCUUUACCAACCUGGAGAGUGAAAAAUGAUUUCUUGUUUUAAUUUUUAUUUUAAAUAAUAACAGCUAGCUCUCAUACAGCACUUGCUAUAUGUGCCAGGAGUCUUUCUAAGAGCUUUACAUAUAUGAUACAAAAUACCUUUAUGAAGAUAAAAGUAGGGCGCCUGGGUGGCUCAGUUGGUUAAGCGACUGCCUUCGGCUCAGGUCAUGAUCCUGGAGUCCCGGGAUCGAGUCCCGCAUCGGACUCCCUGCUCGGCAGGGAGUCUGCUUCUCCCUCUGACCCUCCUCCCUCUCAUGCUCUCUGUCUCUCAUUCUUUCUGUCUCAAAUAAAUAAAUAAAAUCUUAAAAAAAAAAGAUAAAAGUAAUAUAUCAUAUAAUAUAUAAUAUUAUAUAUAUAAUAUAUAAUAUAUAAUAUAAUAUUAAUAUUAAUAUAUAAUAUUAAGAUAUAAGUAAUAUAUCAUACAAUACAUCCAUUUAAGAUGAUUAAAUUGUUUUUAAUAUGUUCACAGAGCUGUGUGAACAUGACCAAUUUUAGAAAAUUUGAUCAUGCCCAAAGUAGGUCUGGACCCAUUAGCUGUCACAUCCCCUCCCCACCCCAAGCCCCAACCCUAGGCUAUUUUGGUCUCCAUAGUUUUAUCUAUUCUAGAUAUUUUAUAAAUAUUUUAUAAAAAUGAAAUCAUAUAAUAUGUGGUUUUCAUGACUGGCUUUUUUCAUUUAGUAUAGUAUUUUCAAGGUUCAUUCAUCUUGAAACAUGAGUGAGUACUUCAUUCCUUUUCAUUGCCAAAUAAUAUUUCAUUGUAUGCAUAUAACAUAUUUUAUUUAUCCAUUUAUCAGUUAAUGAAUAUGCGUGUUCCCACUUUUUGGCCACCAUGAAUAAU